rnacentral:lncRNA from 1 species
UAUAUAUAUGUAUUAUAUAAUAAUAAUAAUUAAAGUAUAAUAAAACAAAAUAGGUAAAAAAAAUACAAACUAAGAAAGAAAAACAAAGAAAGAAAAAGAAAGAAGAAAAGAAGAAAAGAAAAAGAAAAAAGAAAGAACAAACAAAGAAAUUUCAAUUGGUUAGUCAAUUUAGUCCCCUUUUCUUGUAAUUUUUAUGUUUUUGGAAUCCCG